rnacentral:lncRNA from 1 species
UUUUUUUUUAAAUCCUGAUCAAUUUCAAAACUUUUCAGAAUUCAAAAAUGUGAAGACAUAAGCCAUGACCUGAACUGAAAUUUUCAAAAAACUAUGAACUAAACUAUGAAACAAAUUACGCACCAAAUUUACCACGAUAUCAAAAAAAUUAUGAACAAAAUAAGCUUUACUGCAAUGUGAACUAAUAAAUAGUGUGGUUUAACUGAUACGGUUCUUAUGUAAACAAUCAAAAUACUAAAAUAUCACCAUUAGUUCAAGGAAGAAUGGACUGCUAAUGUCAUCCAAAUUGAAAAACGGUGAUUAAAUCUGUCAAAACUAACCUAAACAGAUCGGUCCUAAGUAAUGGUCUUAAAUACUCUUCUUUUUUAAUUAUUACCAAUAUAAAAUUAAAAUAACAAUUCAUUAAUAUCUAUUAUAAAUACAUUAACAAUUAUACUCCAUUAAAAAAUACAUUCUUAAAUACAACAUCUUAACCCAUCUCAACCACCAGACCAAAAAUCAGUUGCCUACGACGGCAGAUAAUCCGUUCAGACAGAAGAUAAUCGAACUUUUCAGUUAACUCAACAAUAUUAAAUCCAGACAUCGACCAAGCCUAAAUUCUGAGCCAAAAAACUUAAUAGAAGAACAAAAAGGUUUCUUCAGUCAGGAAAAUUCCAACACAAUCAUAUAAACAACGAGAUUAAAAAAACAUUGAGCGAUAGUAGAACGAAAUAAAACUAAGUAUUACUACAGAUGAACACAGGUUUAUUGUAACAGUAGAUCAUAAUAAACCAAGUAUCAUUGCUGAUGGCCACAAAUGAUUCCUCAACUUAUCACUUCAAUAGUUAGAACAGAACAAUAGACGCGAAUCAUUCACACGAGAAAAAACAUUAAUAUCAAACCAAAUUGAGAAAACUAAAUCGAAAAUCGCAUACAAAUAAUAAUUUCAAAGUCUAUGGUUAUAAUUACAGGCUUCUAGUAAUGGUUUGUGAGCAACAAUUCAUAAACGUAAUUGUAAAAUGUAAUUAAAAACCUGGAAUUAGGGUUUCUUCUUCAAAAGAAGAGAAAAUUUCACAAUGGAAAGAUAUAGAGGAGAAUAUGGUCAAAAAGAACUAUCUAAAAUUGCAGAAAGAACAACAAAAAUCAAAAUCAACCACAAUAGAACGAAAUUCAAAUGUUAUAGCUACUCAAUUCCAAAAAGAACAAUAUCUUUGAGCUAAUACAAAACCAAAAUAUCAUAACAGCAAAAAGAGAGAGAAACAGAUACCACUCUCUUGCUGAGGAGUCUGAUUAAAUAACAAAAAACAACACGAAAGGGAAAAACAAAACUAAGAGCAGACGAUGAUGGCUGAGAACACACACUACUUGGAUCUCUGUCUCAUCUUUCGGCGCUUCCUCUUCAACCUCCUCAUACGCUUCUUCUUCCACUGCACAAAUCAGAAAUUUCAAUUAAACCAAAAGCAUUAUAACAAAAGAAGAACGAGAAAACAAAACGAGAUUGUAAAGGAUCUAACCUUGGCCCUCAUUGCGGUUGAAAACGGAAGAGAACUUGUUGAGAGAAAACCCUAAUCGAACGUAAAGGAGACUGCGCAGAAGUAACUGCGAUUAGGAAGAGAAGGAGGUUGAGUUUGGGGAUUUUAUAGCGAAUCGUAAACCCUAGAAAAUAGAAUGGUUCGGGCUUUAACAUUUAGCCCGUGGAUUUUCAACUAUUGAACGAAAAAGAUGAUUGCUAUUGACACCUACUACAGGGGUUUUUUUUUGUCAAAAUAACUUUGUCCCAAAAUAAAGUUCUCAAUAUUAUAGUAAGGCUGCGUUUGUUAAUUGCUACAGUUUUUUUUUUGAAAAAAAUCUAUUUUUUUAAUUAAAAUAUCAUUUCUAACUAUUUUAAUUUUUUCUAAAUGAUUUAGGUUUAAAAAACUGAUUUUUUUUGUUAAAUAUGAAAAAUUGACCCAACAAGCUUUAGGGUCCAUUCUUUUAGAUAAAAAAAAAUAGAAAUUUUUGAAAAAAUAAUAUAAGCCAGUUUGCAUUUGUUUAAUAUUAUAAAAAACAUUUUUUCUUCUUUCAAAACAUAAAUGUAAAAUUGAAUUUUUUUAUUAUAAAUUACUAAAUAAUAAUAACGCUAUUAAAUGAUUAUAAAUUAAUAAUUAUACAUAAUUUUUCAACACUUUUUUGUUGCUUUAUGAUUAAAAUAAUAAUAAAGCUAUUAAUAUAUAUAUAUAUAUAUAUAUAUAUAUAUAAUCAUGAUCAAAUGAUAACAAGGUGUCAAAUUUAAUAAAAUGACACAUUCGAUAUGUCAACAAGAUCAUAAAAAUUUAACAUCAAUCGAAAAUCAUUUGAUAUGUCAACGAGAUCAUAAAUAUUAACGUAUUACAAAAAUUUAACAAAAUCGUUAACUUUGAUCAUUCUGUUUAACAUAUCAAAUUAUUUUUGUUUGAUGUUAAAUUUUAUAGAGAUGAUCUAUAUGAUAAUACAUUUUAAUGCAACGAUAGAUUUUGUUAUGUGGAUAUGUGGUAAAGAGUUAUCGAAUGUGUCAUAUUAUCAAAUUUGAUAUUUUGGUGUCAUUUGAUCCUGAAUUGGUGGAUAUAUAUAUAUAUUUAUUGUGUGUGUGUGUGUUUAUCAAUACGAUAAACUCAUUGUUAAAUUUCAUUAUUUUGUGCUAGAUUAAUUUUAAUAUAAUCAAAUCUUUUACCAACCGUAUAUAUGUGGAUCUAUUGCACUUGAUGUAAUCACUUUUAUAAGUUGAAUCUACUUGGUGUUAUUUGAUUUCGACUCUACUUAAUUUGUGGAUUUAAAAUCUUACUAGAUUCGUAUUGUAUUGGUACAUGGAUAGGUGUUAUUUGCCUUAAUAACCUGUAUGUAUGGCAUAUGUCAUUUUCUUAGGCUCAAAACAAAGUUAUAAUUAUAUCGUGGACACUCUUUUUGGACUCUUUUUGCUAAUACCCCAUAUAUACAUGUUACAGUAAGGGCUAACAUCAACAUAAACCAUAAUCACCACUUAUGAAUCAACAUACACAUCAAUAUUAUAAUAAUCACAACUAAAAACAUUAAGACAAAAACUAGCAUCUUCAACAUCUUUACCAUGUUCUCCAUCAUCUCUUUGUGUAGUAGUCAUCUCCAUGGAUCUUCGUCUUUUUUUUCAACACGUUGAUUUCUACGUCUUUUUCAUCGCAUUUUAAACAUCUCCUUUGAGUGUUGAUUCUUGUUUUCCCUUCACCAUUGAACUUUUCUUCAACCCACUCAAAAAAAAAUUCAGCCACAGCUUGAACAUUCGCUCUAUUAACAUCUAAUAGUUAGCAUUAUCAAAUAAGAAAUAGCAUACAAUAGCAAUUAAUUUACCACAAAGUUUAUGCAACCCCAAAAAAGCUUCCCAAAAUUGCGUCUUUUCUUCCCCACUGUUUGUUUUGCGGCAUUUGCUCCACAACCACACAUUGGUUCGAUUUCACUAUGACUUGCACUCGAAAUCAAGGAAUUACAGUUAAAGCUAUAUGAAUUUGACAAAUUUGAUAAAUAUAUAUAUAUAUAUAUAUAUAUAUAUAUAUAUAUAUAUAUAUAUAUAUAUNNNNNNNNNNNNNNNNNNNNNNNNNNNNNNNNNNNNNNNNNNNNNNNNNNNNNNNNNNNNNNNNNNNNNNNNNNNNNNNNNNNNNNNNNNNNNNNNNNNNNNNNNNNNNNNNNNNNNNNNNNNNNNNNNNNNNNNNNNNNNNNNNNNNNNNNNNNNNNNNNNNNNNNNNNNNNNNNNNNNNNNNNNNNNNNNNNNNNNNNNNNNNNNNNNNNNNNNNNNNNNNNNNNNNNNNNNNNNNNNNNNNNNNNNNNNNNNNNNNNNNNNNNNNNNNNNNNNNNNNNNNNNNNNNNNNNNNNNNNNNNNNNNNNNNNNNNNNNNNNNNNNNNNNNNNNNNNNNNNNNNNNNNNNNNNNNNNNNNNNNNNNNNNNNNNNNNNNNNNNNNNNNNNNNNNNNNNNNNNNNNNNNNNNNNNNNNNNNNNNNNNNNNNNNNNNNNNNNNNNNNNNNNNNNNNNNNNNNNNNNNNNNNNNNNNNNNNNNNNNNNNNNNNNNNNNNNNNNNNNNNNNNNNNNNNNNNNNNNNNNNNNNNNNNNNNNNNNNNNNNNNNNNNNNNNNNNNNNNNNNNNNNNNNNNNNNNNNNNNNNNNNNNNNNNNNNNNNNNNNNNNNNNNNNNNNNNNNNNNNNNNNNNNNNNNNNNNNNNNNNNNNNNNNNNNNNNNNNNNNNNNNNNNNNNNNNNUAUAUAUAUAUAUAUAUAUAUAUAUAUCGUGUGUGUGUGUGUGUGUGUGUUUUUAUCAAUACGAUCAACACUUGAACCAAAAUCUCCUUGUUAAAAUUCAUUACUUUGUGCUAGAUUAAUAUUAAUAUAAUCAAAUCUUUUACCGACUGUGUAUAUGUGAAGUUGUUGCAUUUGAUGUAAUCACUUCUAUAGAUUGAAUCUACUUGGUGUUAUUUGAUUUCAACUCUACUAAAUUGGUGGAUUUAAAACCUUAUUAGAUUCUUAAGUUUAUUGGUACAUCGAUAGGUGUUCUUUGCCUUAUUAUCUGAUUUGUAUGGCAUAUGUCAUUUUCUUAAGCUCAAAACAAAGUCAUAAUUAUAUUGUGGACACUCUUGUUGGACUCUUUUUGCUAAUAUCCCACAUAUGUAUAUGUUGCAUGUUUGUGAUUGUUUAGGUGCUUACCAUAUUAACUAGUUUCAAAAUGUUUGAAGUUGUUGUGUUCAUUAGUUUAUUGUUUGGUUCAUUACGAUAUUUUUUGGUAGCAUCUCAGAUGUUGUUUUCGUAUGUGAUGGAUGUUUUGAUAUUUAUUUUUAUGUUAUAUUUUUGCUAUUGUAUUUGAUGACUAGUAUGGCAUCUAAAAAAGAUGUGAAAAAAGUUUAGAGAAUGAUGAGAAAGUUGUUGCAAAAUGGGGGACGACAAUAAAAUAGGAAUUUUGUUGAAAUUUUGCAUUGAAGAAAUAAAAGCAUGUAAUAGGCCAACUAUCCACUUCAGUAAAGAAGGGUGGAAGAAUAUUACUAAAAAAUUUUAAAAGAAAGUUGGAUAUAUUUGUGAUCACACUCAACUUAAAAAUAGAUGGGAUACAUUGAAAAGAGAGUUUUCAUCAUUUGUGAAGUUAAUGGAUAAGCAAAUCGGAGUAGGAUAAGAUCAUGAAAAGAAAACUAUUAUGUUUGACGAUGAAUGGUGGGUAGAAAAGAGUAAGGUAGGGUUAUAUCAUUAUAUACUAUAUUAGUAUUUUAUUAAUUCCAUUAAUUUUUCUAUGAUAUUUGUUUUGAAUGUUUAUUUAUUUUUUAGGAGGAUCCAUAUAUUUUGAAAUGGAAAAAUGGAGGACCUAAGUUUAUUGACUUGCUAGAUAAAUGUUUCAAAUACGCCAUAGCUACUAGAUCCGCCCUUUACAAACCAUAUGAAGUUUAACUACCAUGUGAAGGAUCAAAAUCUUUUUUGAAGACGGUUGUGAGAAUAACAUAAUUAUUGAGGAUGGCGAAGAUGUAGAUAGUUUUGGUGUUGGAAAUGAAGUAUAACCUAACCCAACACCAAGUUCUUCCAAAAAGAGAAAGACUUUAUAGAAAGGAGAGAAAAUUGGAGCAACGGAUAAACUUCAAUGAUAUCUUGAAUGUAUACUCGAUGAGUUUGGUCCAACCUAACAAUGACUCCCAAAAGACAACAUUAGUUAUGUAAAAUGUUUGGAAAUGUUAGAAGAAAUCCCAUCCUUGACAAAAGGAUCACAUUUACACUUUAAGGCGGUUAGAAUCCUUACCAAUAGAGAAAAUAGGACAUCAUUUUCUUACUUCAUGAAUACCUUCACUGCUGAAAUGACUCUUUAUUGGAUAAACAUUUAUCCCGGAAAAAAUCGUUGAUACGAUUGUAUGCUUCUUAGGAAAAAAACAUGAGUAGUUGGAACUAUUGUGUUUUAGCUUGAUGUGGUAUGAUAUUUGUCACAAUUACGUUGUGAUUUUGAUACCAAAUGAAAAUGUCAUUAUUGGUUUGUUAGAAUAUAUGAUUUUGGAUUCUUAAAUGUCAUCUUGCAUAUUUUAGACUUGCUCCAUGAUUCAGAUCAAGAAAAUGAAACUUUUUAAUUAUUAUCAUUCUAGUUUGAGAAUUGUGGUUCAAAGAACUUUUGGUGUGGUAAAAGCAAGAUGUAAAGUAUUACAAGAAAUGUCUAAUUUCAAGCUUCAAACUCAAAUGACUAUUAUUUGGGUUUGCUUUUCACUUUAUAACUUUUUAAGAAGAACAGACUCAAGUGACUUGGAUAUUCUUAAAAGUUUAGAGAACAUCAGUGGUUUACAAGACAAUGAGCAAGAUUUUCAUAAAGAAGAUUGAAAUUAUGUACCUAGUCAUGGUGAAUUGCAAGCUCCAACUCAGACUGAUGUUGGAUAUAUUGAAGAAAUAAGAAACACCAUCAGAGACCAAUUUCCAAGAAACAUAACGACAAUAGUUUUAUUUUUAUGUUUAAUGACUUAAAAAAUUGAAACUUUAAAAAAUGUAGUUUAUAUAUAUAUAUAUAUAUAUAUAUAUAUAUAUAUAUAUAUAUAUAUAUAUAUAUAUAUAUAUAUAAGCGUUAAUAUUUUUUUAAUAGUAAAGAAGCAGGAAUAUUUUUAAAAAUUAUGUACAAUUAUUAAUUUAUAAUUAUGUAUAAUCAUUUAUUCAUAAUUAUGAACACUAAUUUUUAUGUCUUUUUUAGUAAUUUGUAAUUAAAAAAAUCAUUUUUACAUUUAUGUUUCCAAACAAGAAAAAAAUCAUUUUUACAUUUAUGUUUCCAAACAAGAACAAAAUUAUUUAAUAAAAAUGAUUUUUAUGAUAGGAAACAAACACAAACUAGCUUCUAUUUUUUUCAAAAAUCUCUAUAAAAAAUCUCUAGAUUUUUUAAUAAAAAAUAGUUUUUUUUAAUCUAAAACAAAUAAGCCCUAAGUAUUUUACUUUAAAUGAUGCUAUAAUGUGUUUUGAUAAUUUUGAAAGAUUAUACUUUGACCCUUUAGCACAUUGACAAAUUAACUUUUAAACUAUGGGUAACAAGUUACCCAAGUGUGUAUGGUUUAUCACCGAUAAUAAUUGAUUUUCAUUAAAGUAUUUUUUUUUAAAUUAGUUUUGGUAAUACGUGAGUUUUGAAUGGAGGUAUAGUAUAAGCAAAAGAAGCUUAAUGCAAAUAUAUUACGAUUCCUCCGCCAAGACAUCAUGAACGUGGCAACCAAGUGUCAAAAAAUAUUAUAGACAUGAUGGAAGCCUCGAUCAAACGAUACGAGAGAAAGGUGAAAUUGAUUGAGAAAAAUUAGAUGUGCCAAAAUAAUUCAUCUAAAGAGGAUAACAACUAUGAUGGUGUCGUCGGCUCAAAGUCAAGAAGUGAAGCAUUUGCCAUAAGCCCUCUAGGAGAAAGAGAACAAAGGAGGAUUUAAUUUAGUUCGCUUUCACAUAUGAGAUUAACAAGGAUAUGAUAUCGAUAUGGUUCCAACUUCCAACUAUGGAUGUGCGUGAUGGAAAAGCUGACCCACAAUAGUACUUAAUGUAACACCCUUCUAAGAUACCCCAAUAAUUAAUUAAAUCAACAAAAUAUAAAUCAGAGUAAGUAUGCAAUUAAGGGUGUCACACUUGACACUUCACACCAUGUUCCAAAAUAUCUGGUCAUACUCAUUUAUUUAUAAAAAUAAAAUAUUGCACAAUACGCAGCGGAUAGAGAUCUAUCAAUCAUGCAAACCAUGUAACACAUUAUAUGUAAGAUCAUUCAACAACCAAUAAUGAAAAUAAGGUAAAACAUCCCAUCCCGAUGUUACAUCUACCAGAGCAUGACCCACUAAGGAACUACACUAGACUUCAAGUACUAGCUUCUACUCAAUCACUGCUCGUUACCUGAAAAAUAGUUGUAAGGGUAAGUUCCUCAAUCGAUAUAAUAAGCAUUAUAAAAUAUCAUGUAAUGUUAAGUAAAUUAACACAUUUCAUCACCCUAAUCAUAACACAUAUUCAGCAACGGCAAUAUCAACUCAUAAUCAUCAUUAUCCAUCACAUACUCAAACUCAACACAAACCCCAAAAACAACUAUAAUUGUGAAUUUACAUCACAUUCAUAUAUACGCCAUACAUACAUUUAUGCAAUGAGACUCCAUGCAUGCGGUACGACUAUUCGUGAACAUAUAGUUCAACCUCACCGAUCAAAUCCAGAUACGGCUACCAAGCUCACUAGUCUCAACUCAUUUGAGACCUAGUGACUCACUCACUAAUUCUCACCAUGGGAAUUAGAUACCACCCCAAGGCUAUGCUAUGCACGCUAAUCUACUAGCAUGCAAAACAUAACAACAAUCCAAAAAAUAAUUCACUCACUAAUUCCUCACCAUGGGAAUUAGCUACCACCAUAAAGGCCACAAUAUGUCAAGCUAAAUCACUUAGUUCAUGCAAACAUAACAACAAUCCAAAAUAAACAUAUGCUCACACACUCUAAGGCAUAACAAACAGUCAUUCAUAAACAUACAUUCACAGCAUGUACAUGCAUACAAUCAUACAUCUCCAGGCAUAUAUCACAAAAUCAUAUCAUGUCAUGCCAAUUAAUAAAUCACAGUAAUUUAGCAACACUCUACUAAUUACCUAUACUGCUCAAAACAAUGGGAAUGAACUCUACUAUAUCAUCAUCAGCCAAUAUUAGCAUUAACUCAGGCCUGACAACCAAAAACUGAGAUAACAACAGCCAGAAAAAUCACAAAAUCUGCCCAUACCGCGUAUUGAUAGUCUCCAACGCGUAUGUGCCCAUCGUCUGACCAAUCCCAUACGCAUAACACCAUCUCAUACGCGUAUGCUACGCGUACCACUUCCCCAUACGCGUACCAACAGAGACCAACCACGUUCAAGAACAUCAUCUCCUCAUCCAUACGCGUAUUGCCUAGUGCCAUACGCGUACCAGACCAUCUCAUAACGCGUAUUGCCUAGUGCCAUACGCGUAUGACGCAGAAACCACGAAUUUCCAUCUUCUGCUAGGGUUUUCCUCUGCUUACGAAUUUUCAGAUCUUAACCUUCCACAUUCCAAUUUUCACAGUAUUCGUUCAUAUAUCAUCUAAACACAAUCAUACCCUAUUCAAUUUCACAAAUUCUAACAUUAUCCCUCUAAUCCUUACGAAUUUUCCUUCAACCAUAAUCCAAAUUUCGUUCAUCCAAUCACUUCAUAAAUUUUCAGCAUACAUCAUUCUAAUCAGAGUCAAAUCAAUGGUUUAUCACUACCCAUUACAUGUUAUUCCCAUAAUACCCAUUAAACGAUGAGAAACCCCCUUACCUGAGUUAAUCCGGCAAUCCUUUAGCUUCGAGUCUUUUCCUCUCUUCAACCCUUGUUCUCUGGCUCUUUGCCCUUUUUCCUUUUCCACUUUUGAGUCGUUUUUUUUUCGUUUCCACGUGAAAACCUCUUUUUACCAAAUGGGACCUUUUCUAAUUCCAACUUUAUUCCAAUAAUAAUAAAAACUAUAAUAAAAAAUCAAUAAUAAUAAUCCCAAUAAUAUUCCAAUAAUAAUCCAAUUAUUUAAUUAAAUUAAUAAAUAUACUAUUAACUUAAUUUAAAUAAUUAUCUUAUUUUUAUCGGGGUGUUACACUUAACGUCUUUCAAAACCAUAAAAAAACUUCAACAAACAUAUAUACUCUGAAGUGUAUCGCCUUUCGAUUUACUUUAAAAGGGGCUUCAUUUUGUGGGUCUCCUCCCAAUGAAGUCCAAUAAUUCGUGGAAGCAACUAGCUCAGAUGUUAAUAUUUUUAUUCAUCCCAAGUCAAAAAACACAAAAGAGCUAAACAUGCCUCAUUGAUUCAAGAAAAAGUAAGAAGAUUCACUUAGUUUGUUCAUUGGCUAUUUUAAAGAUGAGACAUCCUAGAUUAAAAAAAUCUAAACUUAGUUUUGGUUUUACAUGCAUCGGUAGAAGGUCUAAACUAUACUUUUUUUUAAUCUCUAGCACUUAUACCGUCUAAAAUGAUAGGUGUGCAUAAAAAAGAAUAGAAUGAUACAUCGUUAUUAAGGUGAUUGUUACAAUAAGCAAGGAUAAUACAAGAAAUCUUUGAGAAAAUGACGAAAGAAAAGUUACUUCUCCAACUACACUCCAUUAGAAAAAAAACUAACUCAAAAGGAUCUUUUGAGAUGCUUACGACUCCAACUUCAAUAACCUACCUCGACAAUAAGAGACUAAACCCAAUGCAUACUCAGAGGAUAUAUUGCGAAUACCACAUGAUUUAUAGACAUUCCAUAGAUUACUUCAAGGCAUGGAAAUAUAGAUUAUGAAGUUCAUAUGUGAAGAUCAUCCAACAGAAGUAUAUGGAUAGUAAAAAAAGCUUGGAAAUGCAAACAAAUCUCAGCCUUCUAAAGAGAAAUUAUAGGUCGCCAAUACUUUGGAAUAAAUUAAAGACCUAGAUUAAAAGAUCAACAAAGAUGAAAUAAUGAGUAUGAGAACAAUACUCCGCUCGAAAGAGACAAUCCCAUCUCAAGAAGAUUCGUGGGAUAAUGGAUUUCCAAUAGCAUUAGAAAAGGCAUAUUUUAGCCUCAAAGUCAAUGUGUGUUCUAACACAUGUAGGAAACAUCUUGCUCCCAGUUACAUUUUUUGGAAUAAUAUUACAAAGGAAUAGAUAGCCAACUAGAUGAACAUAUGUUUUUUAUAUGCGUGGAAAAUUGGAAUGUAAAUAGGAGAUUGAUCGACUUAUGAAACUCAACUAACAUCAUAUUCGGUGAAGCCUAUGAGUAGUUGGGGGUUACUUGAGAGAAUCCUUAAAUCCUACAAUGAAACAUUGGUGAGAUUCUGAAGAGACAUCGUGGAUGUCAUGGGAUUCAUAAAAAUCUUGAUGAUAUUCACAAUAGAUGUAAAACCAAAGUCAAUUUAAAUUAUGUUACUAGUGUUUUAUAGUACGCCAACUUAUAACCUUAUCGUUGGAAAACCUAUAUUGAACGCAUAUGGAAUCUUUGUCUAAACACCAUAUUCGGCGAUGAAUAUCCCUCUAGAAAAAAUUAAAAUUACCACCAUGCACACAAAUCUACAAGUAGAUAGGCAUUAAUAUGUCAACAUAUUUAAGAAAAAUCUAAGGGACAUUAGUCUAUAUGGGAGCAACAACAAUAUUCAGCUACCUGCAAACAUGGCUGCAAUUCAAAAACAUGGAAAUGAUAUAAAACAAAAUGAAAUAGCAUGCAUACCUUCUUGAACAAUGUAACAACAAUAGUCCCACUUCCAAAAGAUUGCAUGACAUAAUGAAGUUUGAGUUCUUUGUCCACAAACUUAGACACCAUAAAAAACGAUUCUCUCAUCAUCCUUAAAACACCAUCCUUGUUAUUGUUAGUAUUAGUUUAUAAUCAUCAACAUCAUCAUGACAACGUGAAUUCCAUUUCUCCAUUACCGUUAAAAUAAAGCAUUCUCUAAUUUUCUUCGCAACCACAUGUCCAUGUGGUCCAUGUCCAUCAAACACACCACAAAAUACAGUAUCAUCCACACCACCAAACAUCUAAAAAAAUCCAUUCAUCAUUUGAUUCAAUAACAAUUCACAUUGAAGAUUGAAUAUUUAAGAAUCAAGAUAGAUAAUAUUAGAAUAUUAUAAUACUUCCCAAAGAAGCAUUGCAUCUUGAUAUACACCCUUUCCUCCUGGGUAUCAAUUAGUGGGCCUGCAUACCUCCUUCUUUGUUUAGUCAUUUGAUCCCACAAAACUAUGGUAUAUUCCUUAAACUUAUGGCUGCAACCUACACUUUUUAACAUUAGAGUCAUUGUGGCAAUCAAAAUUUUGUUUAAUUUUAGUUUAUCACUCUAAAUAUGCAUAUGGAUCACUUGUCUCUACAAAUGGCUGGACUUUUAUCUCAAUGCCUCUUAAAUAACAUCUCUUAUGCCUUCACUCUCUUCUGCACUUCCUUCCAUCCUCAUAAUCACUUUCAUCAUUAGAAUUAUUAUAUCUCAUCAAUUUAUUGUUGAAAUUGGUCAGCUUGUUCUCUCAAUAUUUUUUCAAAAUGUUGAGUCAAAGCCCUUAUUUCAAUAGACUCUUUUGUUGUUCUAGGUGAAGGCGGAUCAAACAUGAUCAUUUAAUUUAGUAUUAAGAACAAAUGUUUGAAAAAAAUGGACAUUUCCACUCUUCUCACGUGUUUCACUCAAUUCACUUGUGUUUCACUCAAAUUUUGACUUUUUCUCUAAUGUAUCACUUUUGUAUUUUACCAUUCAAUUGCUCUUUUAAAUUCUUUAGAGAAACCAAAUCAAUCAAGGGAAGAAAACAAAAUUUUAAAGGCGAUAAAAAAAUAAAGGCUUAAUACAAUUAGAAUUUAAAAUGAAGAAAUAAAAAACGCUAAUAAAGGUUAAAAGUAGACAAAGAUAAAAAAAGAUACAAAUAUAUCUUUUUUAUUAAAUGUAGAAACACAAAUAAUGGAGAAAAGUUUAUGAAUCAAAAGAAAUAAAAUUCUGAUUUUUUUAUAUAAAUAUUUUUUUUCAUGUUUUUUUUGUAUUUUUUUUCCACAAUUGUUUUUGUAUAUCUUUUUUUUCACAUUUUUUUUAAUUUUUUCAAUACAAAAUGAAGAGAGAGAAAAAUAAGAGAAAAAAAUUAAAAUUUUAUUAAAGUUUAACUCUUUUUAAAACUCUACUCUGAUUAUCAAUUGAUGACUUUAGCUAUUUUAUUUAAGGACAUGAAUAUGAAGGCUCCUCCUUAUCACCUUUAAGUUGAAGUGGUUAGUAACCAACAUAACCACUUAAAAGUAUGAUGUAAAAGAAACAAUAUGUUCCAUUAACCACCUUUUUAGUUUCACCAUUUAUUAUUAAGUUAGUGUUAAGUUUUAUCUUAAGAUUAAAACAAGUGAUCUAGUUAUUCUAAAUGAAAAUGGAGACUUACGAUCUUCAUAAUGAAUUAACACAAGUUUUUGAGCCAUAAUUCAAAUUAUCAAAAUUAAAAGAAGUGACAAAAUUGAAUAUGAUAUUCAUGAUGAAUUUAAGGUAGUGGUAAAAUAUCUCAUCCAUAUCUAGAGUAUUGUGCUUUUUUUUACCCAAUUCAGUAUAGAUUAGUCCCACGAGAUCAGAGUUUUCUCACAAUUCAACUGUUGGAUUGUCCUGAUUUUUUGUGACAAUGUUCAACACUCGUAGAGGUACAUUUGAACGGUGGAGAUCAAAUUUUGAGCAUUCUAAAUCUGUCUGACGAGUCCAUUUUUGAGGUCCAGUUUUUUGUGGUUAUUUUGGUUUAUUGUCUCUCUUUAUUCUUAUUCUAGUCCAAGAUUAAUUGUAGAUCUUGAUGAUGUUGAUGUAUACCUAUAAAUAGUGUUAGAGAGAAUCAUGAUUGUACUCAUUGUUUGAUUAUAGUGGAGAUUUAAGUGGCAUACGGGUCCCAUGGUUUUUUUUCCUCGUUAAUAGAGGUUAUUUCACGCUAAAUUUAUGUUGUGUUGUUUGGUGUGUUGUUAAUUGUCGUCGCAUUUGAUAUUUGGGAGAGAUUAUGUUGUUGAUUAUUCUAUUGCGUUGUGGAUUUCCUCCCAAUAAAUGGUAUCUAUAACCGUGGUUUGAUUUGUGUAACGAUGGAGACAAACACAUCUAGGAUGGUGAGUCUGAAUGGAUCAAACUAUAAUAUUUGGAAAGGGAAGAUGGAAGAUUUGCUUUAUGUUAAAGGCUUUCACUUUCCCGUUUUCUCUAGUGAAAAACCUGAUUGUAAAAGUGAUGAAUAAUGGACUUUAUUGCAUAGACAAGUUUGUGGUUACAUUCCUCAAUGGAUGAAUGAUAAUGUUUUGAAUCAUGUGAGCUCGGUGACUCAUGCUCGCUCUUUUUGGACCAAACUUUAGGAGUUUUAUGCAAGAAAGACGGGGAACAAUAAGUUGUUCUUAUUCAGUGGGGUUGAGGUUGAUCCUGAUAAAGUCAAAGCUCUUCAAGGUAUGUCAGUGCCAAGAACUGAAAAGGAGGUUCGUGGAUUCUUAUGGAGAUUAAACUACACUGCUAGAUUUAUAUCACUCCUUACUGCCACAUGUGAGCCGAUAUUCAAAUUACUCCGCAAGGAUCAGGCGAUCGAAUGGAAAGAUAUUUGCCAUAACACAUUUGAAAAGAUAAAAGAAUAUUUGCAAGAGCCACUGAUCUUAACGCUCUAGUUCCAGGCUAACAUCUUAUUAUGUACCUCACAGUUCUUGAAGGAUCUAUGGAUGUGUUCUCACAAAACAUGACGAAAUAUGUAGAAAAGAGCACGGAAUCUACUACCUGAGUAAAAAGUUCACCGAUUGCGAAAGCAGGUGUUUAUUGCUCGAGAAGACAUGUCGCGCAUUAGCUUGGGAUGCCAAGCGCUUAAGGAAGUAUAUAUUGACGCAUACAACUCUCUUGAUCUCGAAAAUGGAUUCGAUCAAGUACAUUUUUGAAAAGUAUGCUCUCAAAGGAAGAGUUUCCCGUUGGCAGAUGGUACUAACAUAAUAUGACAUUCAAUGUGUCACACAGAAAUCCAUCAAAGGUAGUGUUUUGUCUGAUUAUUUAUCUGAUCAACCCAUGAAGGAUUAUCAGCUUAUGCAUUUUGACUUCCCUGAUGAAUAAAUUAUAUACAUUAAAGAUUGCAACAUUCCAGGCCCAGAGAAUGACUAAAACCAGGAUUGCGAUGGACGAUUGUGUUCGAUGGUGCUUCCAAUGCCCAAGGAAAUGGAAUUGUGGCAAUCAUCACCUCUUCAACCGGAAUUUCAUCUACCUUUAACUGCAAGGUUGUGCUUCAAUUACACUAACGAUAUGGCGGAAUAUGAAGUGUGCAUCUUCAGCAUAGAAGUAACCAUUGAUUUAAGGAUCAAGAUCCUUGAAGUCUAUGGAGAUUUAGCCUUGGUAAUCAGCUAGGUUAGGGGAGAUUGGGAAGUUCAAGAUCACAAGCUGAUCACGUACAAGGAGCAUGUCUUGAAGCUAAUCUCAUACUUUGAUGAGAUUACAUUCCACCAUAUUCCUCGAGGGGAAAAUCGACUAGAAGAUGUCUUAGCCACUAUGGCAUCCAUGUUUAAGGUUAAGUGGAAGAAUGAAGCACCAUCUAUUUGCAUUGACUACUUGGAUGAACCAGCAUAUUGUUUAGCAGCCAAAGAAGAAUAUGAUGGCCAUCCAUGGUUUUUAUGAUAUCAAGAGGUAUCUAGAGAAGUAAGAAUAUCCAAAGAAUGCGACCAUCAUAGAUAAUAAGUACUUUUGAAGUCUCUCAGCUAAAUUCUUCUUAAGUAGAUACAUACUUUACAAGAGGAUUUAUGACUCGGUCCUGCUCAGAUGCGUGGGUAGACAUAAAGCAGACCAAAUCAUAACUGAAAUUCAUGAAUGCUCCUUUGGGAUGCAUGCCAGUGGGAACACCAUAGUUAAAACGAUCUUAAGGGUUGGCUAUUAUUGGAUGACAAUGGAGGUUAAUUGCCACCGUCAUGUGCAAACAUGUCAUAAAUGCCAUAUAUACAUCGAUAAGAUACAUGUGCCACCGAUUUCACUUAAUGUUUUGACGUCACCUUGUGAGUAGAAGCAAUUUCGUAUACAAACGUCAAAGCAAGUGGUUGCUCGCUUCUUGAAGAAGGAAAUUAUAUGUCGUUAUAGGGUCCCAAAUUAAAUCAUUAUUGAUAAUGGUUCUAACCUUAAUAACAAAAUGAUGAAGGAAUUAUGCAAAGACUUCAAGAUUGAACACCAUAAUUUGUCACUGUACCAUCCAAAGAUGAAUGGUGUUAUUGAGGCAGCCAACAAGAAUAUCAAAAAGAUCGUUCAAAAGAUGGUAAAGACGUGCAAGGAUUGGCAUGAAAUGCUCCCAUUUUUUUCCCAUGGUUAUCGUACUUCAGUGUGCACCUUCACUGGGGAAACUCCAUUCUCUCUCGUGUAUGACAUGGAUGCAUUAUUGGCCAUUGAAGUAGAGAUUCCUUCUUUAAGGAUAUUAACGGAUGUCAAAUUGGACGAAGCUGAAUGGAUACAAGCAAGAUUGGAUCAACUUAAUCUCAUUGAUGUAAAUCACCUUGUAGCCAUUUGCCACGGUUAGUUAUAUCAUAGGCGGUUAAAGAGGGCAUUCAAUAGAAAGGUUCGUCCUCGAAAUCUUGAGGUUGGAUACUUGGUGUUAAGAAAGAUUAUGCUGAUUCAUAUAGAUCCGCGGGGAAAAUCGACGCCUAACUAUGAAGGUCCAUAUGUCGUGAGAAAUGUCUUCUCCGGAUGAGCCUUAAUCCUGUCAACUAUGGACGAAGGAGAUCUCCCAUCCUCGGUGAAUGCAGAUGCAAUUAAAAAAUACUUCGGUUAAUAGAUCCGCUAAGUCGAGGACCCUGAGGGGCGACUUAGGCAAAAAUGGGCAUCCCGGUGGACCACUAAAAGAAAGAUCCAGGAAAAAAUUAGGGAUAAAAUCAAAAGAAAUAAAGAACCUGCUAAGUUGAUCACCCUGAGGGGAAACUUAGGCAAAAAUGAGUAUCUCGGUAGACUGAAAACCCGAAAGGUAGGUCUAGGCAAAAGUUAGGGAUUUGAAAGGCAAGAAACUACGAUCUACAAAAGAUCUAUACAUCUGUCAUUUCGAGUGUGGAAACCCGAAUGGGAAGAAUCGAUCCAAUCAAUUUCUUUAGAGGCAAAGGAAGAGGAUCUCCAAAGUUAUAUUGAUUAUAGCAGAGUGGGAACUUAAUGGAUUUUUGAGUCAUUUCCAUUGUAUUUUCCAUUUUUUCGCAAUUACCUCUUUAAGGAAUUGCUUCCUUUUGUAAAUCACCCAUUUACGAGUUCUUCAUUAAUAAAAAGUGCCUUAAUUAAAUAUGCUUAAUAUUUUUACUUUUUUUGCUUGUUUGUAAAGAUGUGAAGUUAUUUAUUAAUAACCUAUGCUUUGAAAACUUUGGGGGAAUAACGAUAAAAGUAUUUAAAGAGAACAUGAAGUUACUUUUCUUUUAAAAGUGUCUGAAGGAUAACCACAAUUUCCAAAUAGUGUAUUUAUGUACACAAGGAUGUCAUGAGAGUUCUUGGACUCACCUUGACUUGGAGGUUACCCAAGAUGGAUAUCAGUUAACUUGUUGGCUCCAAUUCAACUUGGACGCUCCAGAAGAUCCAGAUCUUGUUAGAGAAUUAUUAUGGUGCCUGAAGAAAACCAUGAUGUUGGGAAGUCAAAUCCUUACCCUGAAAACCCAAAUUAAUAAGCCCAAUCAUACUUGGAAACCACGAAAUUCAGGCCAUUGCAUAAACUGCAUCCGUAUUCUGCAUAAGCAAUCACCCAUUACAUAUCAUUGCAUGUUGAAACACAUAACAUGUUCCUUCAAUAUGGAAGCAUUACGCCAAGAAAAAAUAACAUGCAUAACUGCAUGAAAGUCUUUCUUAAAAGCAUAAAAAAAAUCCUCCAUUGAGACAUUCUUCCUCCCCAGCUGAGAACAUUAUCAUGAAACUCUUAAGUGGUAUUCCCGGCAGGUUUUCCCGAAAUAUAUCUUCUUCGUGUUGCCUUUCGUAAGUACCUUUUGACCUUUAGUCAAUCGCUUACCUUUUGUAAGUCUUAGCUGUCAAAACGUGCCAAAACCCAAAUUUGUCUGGUGAAUCUUUGUAAGUCUAGGUUUCACCUAGCAAGUCAUGCUAAACAUUUUUUGCCUUUUACAAGUACCUUUGGACCUUUCGUCGGUUGAUUACCUUGUAUAGGUCUCCCCGCCUGCCUCUUGCGUGGGAUAUGUUCCCCAACGACUUACCUUUCAUAAGUACCUUCUGCCUUUUACAAAGGAAAUACCUCUUAUUUCUUACUUACCUUUCGUAAGUCCCAUUUUUGCCUUUUGCAUAAAGACUAUCAUUCCCAUCUGCUUACCUUUCAUAAAUUUCCCCUCAGCCUUUUGCUCGAGGAUUUCUAUUCCUAAACCUGCUUACCUUUUGUAAGAACCCCCUGCCUUUUGCAUGGGAAAGCUUCUAUUGCUAAGGAGUCGUCACUACCUUUUGCAUGAGAUGACCAGCCUAUCCAGUUCUCUUCUAAACCUUUUGUUGAGGAGUUUCUCGUUGCCUUUUGCAUGAAAAAUCAUUUCCAUCUUCAUGCGUCUUCUUAGGCUUUCGCUAAAGAGUUUCUUAUUACCUUUUUGAUGAGAAAACACUCCCAAAUUUAUUUUUAACCUUUCGUUAAGGAGUUUCUCAUUUGGCUUUUGCAUGGGAAAUCUUCUUUGGCUAAAGAGUCGUCACUAUUUUUCAUAUGAGAAAUCCACUCCAGCUUUCUUCUUAACCCUUUGUUAAGAAAUCUCACUACCUUUUGCAUGAGAAUCCCCAACAUACCUCGUGUCUAAGAGUUCUCACUACCUUUUGUAUGAGGAUCUCACUCCCGUCUUUCUUCUUGAUCUUUUGUUAAGGAGUUCUUAUUACCUUUUGUAUGAGAAAUGCAUUUUCAUCCUCGUCCUUUAACUUUUUGUUAAAGGGCUUCUUAUCACCUUUUGUGUAAGAAAAGUGUCCAUCUUUAUUCUUAACCUUUUGUUGGGGAGUUCCCAUUUUAUCUUUCUAAGAAGUCGUUGCUACCUUUGUGCAGAAAAAACUUAUUCCCCAACGAAGUCGUCCUUCAUCCUCAGCUUUCUCGUUAACCUUUUGUUAAGGACUUCUCAUUACCUUUCACAUGAGAGAUCACGUUCGCCUUAAUGUGUUUACUUAGACUUUUGUUGAGAUAUUCUCAUAUGCCUUGUGCAUGAGAAAGUAUUAUACCUUUUGCUCGCCUUUUGUAAGCCUCCCCUACCUUUUGUAGCAUGAAGUUUAACCAUUUCUCAGUCAAGUUGCUUGCCUUUUUUAAGACGUCUAUCUACCUUUUUCAGAAGGUUUUAGUCUCAUUUUUGUAUCCUCUAUUACUUGUCUUUUUGCAAGUACAUGCUUUACCUUCACGAAAUCCUGCGGGAAUACCUCGAUAACCGACACAUGCCAAAACUUAUCAGUGGAGGCAAAGAUGAAAGAAAAAGAGAAAGACUGGAAAGAUCAAUCAUGUUGUAUACACUGGAUAUUACAUACCUCAUGCAUGUCUUUACAGAUAAUCCCUUUCCCCAUACACAUUUCAGAUGAUCCCCAACAGAUAAGCCUAUACAAAAGCCUAACUGCCAUUCCAUAUCCAUCCACUAAUCAAUUUCCCACUAAUGCUCCCAUAUUAUAUCACCUUCGUCCCCACUGGGCAAAUCUGUGGAAUACUCUAAUAUUUAAUCCUCUUCCACCUCGAAUCCCUGAAAGUCGUUGUUAUUCAUGCCUUCAAGUCCAAGGAGAUUAAAUAGGGGCAACCGUCAUACCCCAAAAUUUUCCCUACCUUUCACAACUUUCACCUGGUCCAUGGCCCUAAUACAUGUGCAUAUAUUCAUCACCUCAUCACUACAUUUGCAUUAGCGUGAUUCAUAACAAGAGAGCACACUACAUGAACUCAUGUCAUGGUAAUUGUACUUGAGGAAAACUAGGGUUUCUUGACUUUAUAUUGAGGUGUGCUUAACCAAGCAUAAAAACCUAAUCCCUUGUGCCUUUUGCAUUGUGGGUCUUAGCUAUCUUGCAUAUUUGGUUUUGGAUCCGUCAAGAUUAUUUAGUCAAUGUAGUGGCUCAUUAUCCAUUGAUCUAGUGAUCAUAUGAUACAUUGUAUUGGUGUAUGUGUGAAUAAGGCCUGUCUAAAUUAUUUCCAUGUUUGAUUGGUUGUGUGGUCAUUCAUAUCAUCAUAGUUCAAUUCAUUAUAUUGUUUCAUUCACAAGUUGCCCUAGGGUUUACAUUUCCCUGAUCCAAUCCAUCUUAAGACAUGGAAUUUCAUUCAUACAAGAUGCAUCUUCAAAUCCAAGUCAUUGUUUACUUAGGUUAUAAGUUUUAUUUGUCAUUUGGAUCCAUUUACACAUUACAUUUCAUUCAUCAUAAGCAUUGUAAUGAAUUGCACCAUUUUCACCUAAGUUCACUUUUGGUCAAUCAGUUGGCCAAAGUCAAUAAACCAAUCGGUACCCAUUCCACCCAUCUCAUGCAAACACUACAUACAUUUCAUACCAAGAAAAGUAAAGUUUAAUUUGAUUUUGAGUCACAAGCUUGAAUUGUAUCACAUUAUUUUGGACUUGAAUCACAAGUGAGUUUUCAUUACAAGCACACUACAUAAGUAAAUACAUAAGCAUUGCAUUACAUGAAUAAUUUUACAAUCCUGUUACAUACAUAGCAUUUACGUGGAAAUAAAAGGAAGGAAAGGAGGGAGGGUUAUGUGCUUGUCUUGAGUUUGCAUUGACAACAAUCAUCAUCCUCAUGACGCUCCUUCAAGAGUCAUCAAGCAUCUACAUGGCCUUUGAAUUCCACAACCAUGAUGUAUUUAGGCCAUGCCAACUCAUACCACAUGCUCCAGGUUUCCAAACCUGUCACAAAGCCAACAUAAGCGGGGAUUCAAGCAACAUUCAAGCCAAUUUCAUAAACCUAACAGUUAGCAUUUAUCACAAAGUAACUAAAAAGUUCACACAAUAGCAGAACUUAACAAGGAAAUUUCCACAACAAAAUAAACCACAAGGCAAGACCACAUAGACACGCCAAUAUCAGUCCAUAAACCUACAACUUACUUCACCAUGACGGUCUAAUAUGCAAGCUAUAGCAAAAUCGAAUGAGCCAUCAACAACUUGCAGCAACCUACAACAAGGCAUCCAACAAAUUUGCAUGUUCAGACAAUUAAUGAAACAUCAGUUCGCCAUCAACCCAUCAUUUCAAUAGUUGCAAAGCACUCUAGUUCAGUUCAACAAUCACCAAAAAUAAGGUCAUGUCAAAGCAUAACAAAUUCAUAAUCAAGCAAAGAAUAACAAUUAUCAGUUUUUAGAAGGAACCUAACCUGCAUCAAAGUCCGCAAUGCACGAGUUUCACAUCAACUCAAUCAUCGACUGCAGUAACACCUAUGAGGCAAGUCAUGGCCAUCCAUAACCAAAGAAAAUAUCCAGGCAUGUAUCAACAACCAAAUCCAAUUCACCUAAUGCAAACCAGUUCACGGAAAAUAUCCAAAACGCAUUUCGAUACAAAGUGCAAAGUUGCAGCAAAUGAGUUAAAGAUUAAAACACGUGCCUUUUUCACUGAGCUAAUCCAAAAUUCCAUGUGACUCAUUUAUCCUUUUUUGCAGAUUCAAUAUAACAUAUUUUGUUCCAUUUUUCCAGUUAAGCAAACUCAACUGAUUCACAUUCAUUCCCUAAAUUACCCUCCCCUUUACACCACUUUAUGAAAGCAAUCAUUGUUCGAUCAUUAGCCGUAUGAAAUCAGUUUUCUCUAAAAACUUUUCACUCACCCCACACUCUCACGCACUCAUUGUAAGAAGCUUCAAUUAUUACUCUCUCAUAAGAAUUUCAGAAGUAGAAGACUCACAAAAGAAGGUAAGGAAAUGAAACAAGGAAGAAGGAAGAGAAAACAGACGUACCUGAGCAUCUCCGGUCAUAUUCUCCAUGAGGUAGAACUUCAGAUUUCACGGUUGCUUCAGAUAUACAUACUACCAUAUAGAGCAAGGUUUAGAGAAUCAAAGCUCUCUGGUAUGGGGAUUUGAUUCUUCCUCUUCAUAAUUUAAUUUUUGUUUAAAGCCUUAGGGUUCCUAGACUUCUUUUCUUCAAUUUGAACUGUGCUUGCGGGUUUUGGUUAUUUCGUGUAUGGAUCUGUAAUCUUGGGACAAUGAGGAUUCAUUUGGUGUUCUGAUUGUAUGGUUUGAGCUCCGCCGCUUCCGGUGAUGAGCUCCGGCGCGGCGGAGUGGGAAGCUUGCUCCGAUAGCUUAGUUUGAAAGUCAUGAAGCAUAUGAAGGACGUGGUAUUUGUGGCAAGGCUCUUGACUUGGAGUAUCUGGACUUACAUUAGAGGCCUAAUCUGUUGUUAUCAGGACCCUGCUGCAAGCCUGUACCCCGUAGAUUUUUCUGAAAAAACUGCACCGGGCCUCCCUGGUUAGGCCCUGCGCUCCCCUGCUGAUUGCACCUUGUUUACAAUUUUGCACCCCUGCUCAUUUAUUCAUUAUUAUUUAUUUAUUUUUAUUUCCCCCUUAUUAUUUACUUAUGAUAUUUUUGAUUGAUUUUAUUUCUUGCAUUUUCUUAAUACUUUAACUUGGUUUAAUUCUAAUGCAAUUAACAUACUAAUUGGUAUUUCUUUUAUUUUAAUUUGUUUUCUUUUUUGUGAUUGCUUGGGUGAUAAUCUUCCACACUUCAAAUCACUGAUAGAUGGACGUUUCAGUCGAUUCAAUCUUCGUUGGUGCAAACAUGUUGAUAAAUGAUCAUUGGAUCAUUUUUGACACUUUGCAUCAAGGAUAAGUUAUCCCUUAAUGCGCCAUAUUUUGAGUCCUUUGACUUGUGGAUAGGGAAUCCCUAAGUGAUUGCCUUUUUUAAUUUGAAUUCUAACUCCUAACUUCCAAUCUUUACAUUAUGCACUCUAGCUUUUACUUUCUUGCAAUUUAUGUUUCUUGUCAUUUACUUUAUGUUUCUAACUACUAUUCAUCAUCAUCGUCUACCUCCUCUUUAUGCAUUUUAUCUCAUCCUUUUUCUUUAUUGUUAAUGAUGUAAUUAUUUUAUUGUUCAUACUUAUUAUUAAAUCCUUAAAGAAAAUAACAAAAACAUGGUAAAAUGAAAAGACCAAAAAGAUUAAUUUGUGAGACUUAAUGUUGGACUUAGAGGACUCUUUUAGGACCCUUGCUUUGGACUUGGACCAAUGUGGUUAACCUAUGCAUAAUUUGGAGCAUUAUGGACUUGUAAUCUUUCAUUAUAAGAAAGCAUUCAUGACACUACCGUAUGGAGACAUGCUUUGUAAUUCCAUUAUCGGUUUGUUAGCUUAGGACACAAUGCACACACAAGGCUUUCUCUUGGACUACCUUACAACGAGACCCUUUAUUUCUCGCAUAUUUACCUUUUAUUUUUCAUGUAUCCCCUCCCCACUUUGGUGUACUUUUUACUCGUUUUUCUUUGAUUGUUGUCGCUUGUUAUCCAACCUUAGGACCUAGGAUCAUCACCACAUUUCAUAAACAAUAAAUAAACCCUUGAUCCAAUGUCAAGUGACAUUUUAUCAAAUCAAACUCAAAAACACAAUAAAAUGCGACUAGGAUUGUAUGCCACGAGCCUUAAGUGGUAGAGAAAGAGUAGAAUUGAGUUUUCCUACCCUCAUUCUGAGUAUUUUGGACACAAGACACUUGACUCGGUAGUUUAAAAUAUUCACCUCUGCUCAUAGUCUUUAGUGCAAUAUGAAGUAAAAAACAUUCUCUUUUGAAAAUCUAAAAACAACAUCAACUCAUUAAACCUUUUGUUUUACGCCUUAGGGCACCACUUCGAAAAUACUUUUUCAAGGUAAAAACAACCAACACACAAUCAUUUUGUCUCAUGAACUACGAGGCUCUGAAUUCCUCAUUGUACAAAUGAGGAUACGUAGGCACGAGGGCUCAAAUCCUUGGCAAUCACACUAAUAAAAAACCCAUUUUCACUCCAUAGCAUGUACGCUUUGAGAUAACGACACUCAUUCAAGUGAGAGACAAUCUAGAUGGCUCAUAUCGAGUACGGUGAAUAUGAGGGAUGCUAAUACCUUCCCCUUGCAUAACCGACUUUAGAACAUGUUCAUGGUUGGAUGACCAAUCUUUUGGGAUUUUCUCAAUAUUUUCCCUUUCCUCUUGGAAUAAAUAAAAUCCGAUGGAGACUUUGUAUUUUUCGCGUAGCGACAGUAAGUACAAUACCUGACAAUCUACAUGUUGGUAUAACAACUAAUUCUUUCAAUCCUAUUCAUCAAAGUAUAUAUUAUCAAUAUAUAUUAAGGUGCAUAUCAUUAUCAAUAUACAUUACCAAAGAAAGUUUAUAAAAUAGUAGUAGCAUAUUACCUCCUUAUAAUGUUAGGCAAGAUAUUAUCAUCAAUAUAGUUUCCAAAUCUCAUUCUAUUUGAUGCCCACCUCUCCAUCAAGUAUGUUCUGAUUUCUUCUAGUAAUGUCACUAUUGGCUUAGCUCUUGCUUCAAUAAUAACAUUAUUGAAGGCCUCUAGCAUGUUGUUCAUCAAGCUAUCACACUUGGGAUUUGUUUUGAAUUGUGAUUUACUCUAGAACCUAGGAAGUGUUUUCAUAUUUUGAUUAUCUUUCGAGGAGUUUUAAAUUCUUUUACUUAUCCACUUGUAGUUGUCAUUUUCAUAUUGUAUGAUCUGAUACACUUAUGAAUUUUCACCACUUUCUUCAAUUGCCAAGAAUCUUCAUUUGGUAAUUUUCCACAAUAGACAUUCCAGUCACACUCUUAUUUACAUACCACCCUCACCCUUUGUUUAUCAUUUUUAGAUAACUUCAAAUCCCUACUUGAAUGGACUGCAUAUGUGGUGAUUGCUUCCAUGAAAUCAGCCUUGGUAGAAAAAUAGGUCCCUAGUUCCCAUUUAUAGUCUGACAUGUUUUUUGGCAAGUUGAAAACAUGGUAUUUCUUCCUAUUACAAACAUCCCCAUAUGUUUCACACCCAUUCUCCAAUUUCUCACUAGCAUCCUUACUUUCGAGCUCACUAAAGUCCCAUUUUUUUAUGGUUUUUGCUAGUACCUUCAGUCUCAUCAUAAUAACCUAACAAAUCGUUAUUAUCCUCAUCUACUAAGCCAUCACUACCACUACCCUCAUAUGAAUCUUCAAAUGCAACCUUUAAAGCACUGCCAUAUUGAAAGCGCAUAUCUUUAAUAUCAUCAUUAGAACUCUCAAGUCAAACAUCUUUUCCCUCUGCAUUAGUCAACUAAACAUCAUUAACUUCAUCCCUAUCACCUACGUCCCCAUUCACUUCAGGCCCAUUACAUACACCCCCAUCAUUCACCCCAACCUCAUUUACUUCAUUCACAUUCACCCAAUCCCACUACCUUCACCCUUAUUCACCUCAACCCCACUAUCUUUACCCACAUUCACCUCAACCGCAUUACCUUUGAGAAUUUUCUACAAUUUUAGAAUCUC